rnacentral:rRNA from 1 species
UACGUAGGGUGCAAGCGUUAUCCGGAAUUAUUGGGCGUAAAGAGCUCGUAGGCGGUUUGUCGCGUCUGCUGUGAAGACUGGAGGCUCAACCUCCAGCCUGCAGUGGGUACGGGCAGACUAGAGUGCGGUAGGGGAGAUUGGAAUUCCUGGUGUAGCGGUGGAAUGCGCAGAUAUCAGGAGGAACACCGAUGGCGAAGGCAGAUCUCUGGGCCGUAACUGACGCUGAGGAGCAAAAGCGUGGGAAGCGAACAGGAUUAGAUACCCUCGUAGUCC